rnacentral:rRNA from 1 species
CCUGAACGCUGGCGGCGUGGCUAAGACAUGCAAGUCGUACGGUGUAGCAAUACACAGUGGCGAACGGGUGGGUAAUGAAUCGCUAACGUGCCCCGGACUCUGGGAUAGCUGAGGGAAACUUCAGGUAAUACCAGAUGAUAUAUCCCUUCCGCAUGGUUGGGAUCUCAAAGGUCCGCCGGUCUGGGAGCGGGCGAUUUCGUAUCAGCUAGUUGGUGAGGUAACGGCNCACCAAGGCGACGACGCGUAGCCGGACUGAGAGGUUGGCCGGCCACAUUGGGACUGAGACACUG